rnacentral:lncRNA from 1 species
GGUACACUGAUUUCCAUUUUGCACAGGCAGGUGAUCCUGUGCUGUGGCAUGUUCUGAGGCAUCCUGAAGAACUUUCAGCGGUGAAGGGUCUAUAUUUUGUUUAACCUUGGCUUCCGUAGGGUUUCUCAAAGGCGAUUUUGGUAUUUUUUUUAGAUGGUUUUCAGUCACAAUCUUUUUUCUUUUCACACCCUUAAUUGUAUCUGGGUUUCCUCUGGUACCAGAAUCUGUGAUUUCUCUUUGUUGGUCUUCUUUUCCAUUAAGUUGUUUUUGUGCUUCUUCAAUUUUGUCUCUGAGAUUUCUGGGAUGUAUCUGCUUCGUCCGAGGCAUUUUCCUCUAAUCUCGUACACCGCUUUCUCCUCCCAGAAAUGAAAAGCACAGCAAGCAGAGAGGUGGCAGCUCCAUAAACUUGUCAGAGGGGUCAGUUAAUCCAUAUGCUGGCGGAGGGGCCGUGGCGGCGGCGGCCGAUGGCGGCGCGCGGGGGGGCGGGCGGCAGCCUCCUUCCCCUGACAGCCUCCAACACAAACAUGACCCAGCGCCGCCGCCGCCUCGCACGGCCCCGGCCCUCCUCUUCUCCUCUCCUCUGCUCUCCUCUCCUCCCCGCGCC